UCUUAUGAAUGAGCAAAGAAAGCGGUUUUUUGAGAUGUAAUCUACUCCUGGUGAAGAUGCUGGGAA
rnacentral:pre_miRNA from 1 species